rnacentral:rRNA from 1 species
GACAGAGGAGCCAAGCGUUGUCCGGAUUGACUGGGCGUAAAGCGCACGCAGGCGGCCGUGCACGUGGGGUGUGAAAGCGCUCGGCUUAACUGAGCGAUGCCACCUCAUACGGCAGGGCUCGAGCCCGUGAGAGGUCCACGGAAUUCCCGGUGUAGCGGUGAAAUGCGCAGAUAUCGGGAAGAACACCCGUGGCGAAGGCGGCUCUCUGGGACGGUACUGACGCUGAGACGCGAAAGCGUGGGGAGCGAACAGG